GGGUCUGUAGCUCAGUUGGAUUAGAGCGUAUGGCUACGAACUAUAAAGUCGGGGGUUCGAAUCCCUCCAGACUCA
rnacentral:tRNA from 1 species